rnacentral:rRNA from 1 species
UACGGAGGGUGCAAGCGUUAUCCGGAUUCACUGGGUUUAAAGGGUGCGUAGGCGGGUAUAUAAGUCAGUGGUGAAAGCUCCGGGCUUAACUUGGAAACUGCCAUUGAUACUGUAUAUCUUGAAUGUCGUUGAGGUUAGCGGAAUGUUGCAUGUAGCGGUGAAAUGCUUAGAUAUGUUACAGAACACCAAUUGUGAAGACAGAUAACUAAGCGAUGAUUGACGCUGAGGCACGAAAGCGUGGGGAGCAAACAGG